rnacentral:tRNA from 1 species
CCCCUGGUGGUCUAGUGGUUAGGAUGUGGCGCUCUCACCACCACGGCCUGGGUUCGAUUCCCGGUCAGGGAA